AUUGAACGCUGGCGACAUGCCUUACACAUGCAAGUCGAACGGCAGCACGGGUGCUUGCACCUGGUGGCGAGUGGCGAACGGGUGAGUAAUACAUCGGAACAUGUCCUGUAGUGGGGGAUAGCCCGGCGAAAGCCGGAUUAAUACCGCAUACGAUCUACGGAUGACAGCGGGGGACCUUCGGGCCUCGCGCUAUAGGGUUGGCCGAUGGCUGAUUAGCUAGUUGGUGGGGUAAAGGCCUACCAAGGCGACGAUCAGUAGCUGGUCUGAGAGGUCGACCAGUCACACUGGGACUGAGACACGGCCCAGACUCCUACGGGAGGCAGCAGUGGGGAAUUUUGGACAAUGGGCGAAAGCCUGAUCCAGCAAUGCCGCGUGUGUGAAGAAGGCCUUCGGGUUGUAAAGCACUUUUGUCCGGAAAGAAAUCCUUGGCCCUAAUACGGUCGGGGGAUGACGGUACCGGAAGAAUAAGCACCGGCUAACUACGUG
rnacentral:rRNA from 1 species